AACGAACGCUGGCGGCAGGCUUAACACAUGCAAGUCGAGCGCCCCGCAAGGGGAGCGGCAGACGGGUGAGUAACGCGUGGGAAUCUACCCAUCUCUACGGAAUAACGCAUGGAAACGUGUGCUAAUACCGUAUACGUCCUUCGGGAGAAAGAUUUAUCGGAGAUGGAUGAGCCCGCGUGGGAUUAGCUAGUUGGUGGGGUAAAGGCCUACCAAGGCGACGAUCCAUAGCUGGUCGGAGAGGAGGAUCAGCCACACUGGGACUGAGACACGGCCCAGACUCCUACGGGAGGCAGCAGUGGGGAAUCUUGGACAAUGGGCGCAAGCCUGAUCCAGCCAUGCCGCGUGAGUGAUGAAGGCCCUAGGGUUGUAAAGCUCUUUCGCCGGUGAAGAUAAUGACGGUAACCGGAGAAGAAGCCCCGGCUAACUUCGUGCCAGCCGCCGCGGUAAAAC
rnacentral:rRNA from 1 species